rnacentral:rRNA from 1 species
CCGUACCGCAAACCGACACAGGUAGUCAAGAUGAGAAUUCUAAGGUGAGCGAGCGAACUCUCGUUAAGGAACUCGGCAAAAUGACCCCGUAACUUCGGGAGAAGGGGUGCUCUUUAGGGUUAACGCCCAGAAGAGCCGCAGUGAAUAGGCCCAAGCGACUGUUUAUCAAAAACACAGGUCUCUGCUAAACCGUAAGGUGAUGUAUAGGGGCUGACGCCUGCCCGGUGCUGGAAGGUUAAGAGGAGUGGUUAGCUUCUGCGAAGCUACGAAUCGAAGCCCCAGUAAACGGCGGCCGUAACUAUAACGGUCCUAAGGUAGCGAAAUUCCUUGUCGGGUAAGUUCCGACCCGCACGAAAGGCGUAACGAUUUGGGCACUGUCUCAACGAGAGACUCGGUGAAAUCAUAGUACCUGUGAAGAUGCAGGUUACCCGCGACAGGACGGAAAGACCCCGUGGAGCUUUACUGUAGCCUGAUAUUGAAAUUCGGCACAGCUUGUACAGGAUAGGUAGGAGCCUUUGAAACGUGAGCGCUAGCUUACGUGGAGGCGCUGGUGGGAUACUACCCUAGCUGUGUUGGCUUUCUAACCCGCACCACUUAUCGUGGUGGGAGACAGUGUCAGGCGGGCAGUUUGACUGGGGCGGUCGCCUCCUAAAAGGUAACGGAGGCGCUCAAAGGUUCCCUCAGAAUGGUUGGAAAUCAUUCAUAGAGUGUAAAGGCAUAAGGGAGCUUGACUGCGAGACCUACAAGUCGAGCAGGGUCGAAAGACGGACUUAGUGAUCCGGUGGUUCCGCAUGGAAGGGCCAUCGCUCAACGGAUAAA